UUUGCUNGAGUAUGAUCCUGGCUCAGAUUGAACGCUGGCGGCACGCCUAACACAUGUCUUUUUGAGCGGUAACAUGAUGUGUAGCAAUACACAUUGAUGACGAGCGGCGGACGGGUGAGGAACACGUAGGAACUUGCCCAGAAGAGGGGGAUAACCAAGGGAAACUUUGGCUAAUACCGCAUAAUACUCGGAAGAGGAAAGCUUUUGAGAGUAAUCUUGAAGGUGCUUUUGGAGAGGCCUGCGUCCGAUUAGCUAGUUGGUGUUGUAAUAGCUCACCAAGGCGAUGAUCGGUAACUGGUCUGAGAGGACGGCCAGUCACACUGGGACUGAGACACGGCCCAGACUCCUACGGGAGGCAGCAGUGGGGAAUAUUGGACAAUGGGGGAGACCCUGAUCCAGCGAUGCCGCGUGAGUGAAGAAGGCCUUCGGGUCGUAAAGCUCUUUAGGUUGGGAAGAANGUAUUAUGCUGAGUGCUACUUGGACGUACUGACCGAAUCAGCACCGGCAAACUCUGUGGCAUGAGCGGNGGUAAACAGAGGGGGCGAGCGUUAAUCGGAGGUUCUGGGGCGUAANNGGCCCCAAUGCAGUGAAAGGANNNNNAGUGGAAGCCCCGGGGAGANGGGGGGNNNNCGGGCGGCGGNNNCGGAACGGAGUUCGAGCGGGGGCGGCGGACUCCCGCUGUGGGACGCGANNNNCGGGUGUGAGUUAGAGGACGGNNCGCGGGGCGGUCUCGUCGGUGCACUGNCNAGCGCGCGGNGGGCCGCNNNNNUGACGCGCGGCGCCUGAGUNNNGAGGUGGACACAGGCAGGACGGCGGACGNGAGGACGCGGCUUGCGGGGUGGNUNGGNGCGGAAGGAGCCUCUCGCGUGCCNNNGCGCAAGGGNCUUCGUGG
rnacentral:rRNA from 1 species